rnacentral:lncRNA from 1 species
GAGGCACACAGUUACGAUAAUGACAACUGGAGCCAUACUGUGUUCUGCAUGCUUUCAGCAGCUCUCUCAGACACUGAAUGCACCCAUUGUGCUCAACCAACUGCACUGCACUCCCAGCUAUUUCCUCCUUGCUCACAUUUUAUGAACACCUGAGGAUGUUGGGGAUUGCAAAAAAAAAAAAUGACAAGAUAUAAUGACAGAUUUUCAUCACCCAGUCUCAGAAAGGGAUUCAGUGACUGCUAACUGAGCAGAUGGAGCAGUACCAACACAUGUGAGAAGAAAACAUUCAUCAUCUGAGCAGAGCUCUAUACAAAUGGCAAUCCUGCUUCUGAAGGCUGAGUACCCUUGCUCAUCACCAUGGCACGUCUCUGAUAUCCGACCAAGAUGGACAAAGGAGAAGGACAAGGAGAAAAGCCUGGGAGGAAGACUACAAGCACGAGAGACCCCUAGAGGGACCUCCGGAGACUGUUGCACAUGCGCCAGUGGGAGGGUUCAGAUUCCAGGAACCUGCCUUUUCUAGAAGUAGUAAUGAAUAUGUAUUAGCCUAGGAGCAUAAAAACCAGCCACCUGAUGUAACAUAUGUGUGUGUGUGUUGGCAGAGCCCAGAUUCCCUGCACACCCAGCGCUGUUUACUUGCCGUUUAAUUGACCCCAUAAAUAAAUCUUAUAAAUCAAAAUUGACUCA